UCCAGACCAUGUGCUUCAGAUCCGGACCAGGUGCUUCAGGUCCAGACCAGGUGCUUCAGGUCCGGACCAGGUGCUUCAGGUCCGGACCAGGUGCUUCAGAUCCGGACCAGGUGCUUCAGGUCCAGACCAGGUGCUUCAGGUCCGGACCAGGUGCUUCAGGUCCGGACCAGACGUCCUGCCUUCCCGUUGGCUGCUGCUGCUGCUGCGGGAGGACAACCAGGCCCCGCUCACGUCAGCUCCGUGACACGAAGGCGGCCGUGACGCGGCGGCAAACCGGCGCUGACGGACGCCUUUUGGUCUUGUGCAGUCAGGCCGCGUCGUCUGGCCCGCAGACGACCGUAAUCGCACCGACAGGUGACACAUCUGUGGAAACCAGAAGAUGAUGUGGGAGACGACUUCGGUCGCGUGGCCUGCACCUCACAUGCCAGCCGUGUCAGAAAUCAACAGGCGAGCAGGACUGCAGUGAAGGUGGGUUGGAUGGGACUUCACAAUCACCUGCAGUGUGAUGCACACCUGAAAGUGAAGUCGUCAUGGGGUAUCUUAAGGUGAAUCGUGUUUAGAAAGUUGAACGUGUGUUUGCCUCAUAAUAUUCACAGUUAAACAAACUGUGGUGAGAAACUGCUCAUUUGUUUGCGGUUUGGAGUUUGAAGAUUUAUGGUUAAGUAAGGACAGAAAUACGCACACAUGAGCUGCUGCUAACUGACAGCCAGCAAUGCAGCCGGAAGUUGCACCUUUACAAAGGAAGUCCCUGAAGAGCUAAAGUUAAUAACGGUAAACUUACCACACAGCGGGGCCACCGAUCCCAUCGUCACAAUAAACGUUUGUGACAGAUGCUUCUGCCAUCCAUCCAAAAGAAAUCCUGCAGAGAACCUGCAAAGUGACCAAAAAAAUGCUGCGAAACCCAGAAAUGCUGAUCAGUGUGUUAGGAAAAGAUGACAUUGCUGAGUCAAGAAAUUGUCCAUUUAUGGAUGGGCAAACAGAAUAAAGAAGUACAAGCGAGGAAGAGUGAAGUGCACAUUAGCAGGUAUUUGAAGUGUGCAUUUCCAUGUCAUUAUUUUACCAACGAAAG